UUCUUCGCCGACCGGCCACUAGGCUCUGAACCGAGAACGUGUACUCGUUCCUCCAUCUUCAGGCUACCAAAUCCAACAAUCGAAAGGCCGAAGCCUUCUCUGUUUUUCCCUGACCAAAGACCGCAAUAUCCUUCGGCGGCCAACGUCGAAUUCCCGACUUAGCCACCGGCCAACUUACGGCUUUCGUUUCUCACUAUCCUUACGACGAAAAAGGAUCGAGAAACCACCGUUGUGUAGCCUGAUCUACCUCGCACGAGGUAGACUAAGUCGUAGACCUUCGCGGCUAAACACCAUAGCGGAACGACGACCAGAAAACCCCCGACGAACAACUUCCAUUAGUGCUCACUUGGACAAGGGUUCAAAUAAACAAAAGCGUCUGAGUAACCUAUCGCGCUAAGGAAAGAGAAUCGUUGUCUUAAGUAGCAAAACACUGCAAUCAGGUUGAGCUGAUGUGAUGAUGGUGCUGCAAUGAGCGGAGUCUCCAGGGUUGUUAAUAAAUAGUUAACCUGUCUAGAAUAUGUCUUCAUACAUAUGUCUAGCUACUUUCCGCUGCAAGAUGUUGUUGAUGUUAUAGUAUGUUAUGUCAUACUUUGAGUCUUAAGAGAAUGGUUUCAUAUGAUGUAUAACUUGAUUAAUGAUAUUAAUUAAGUUUUAUGCUGUCUUUCAUAGACUAUUUUCAAUUGAGUAUUCAUGAAUAAAAAUGACGAGUUU